rnacentral:rRNA from 1 species
UUUUAUAUUUGUUGUGGAUUAAUUGUUAUUUAAAUAUAGUUUUGAUAGUAUGGUGAUAGAUGUCGUGGGCUUAACUUUAGUUAAAUUAGUACUGUAAAGGAUUUAAGGAAAGGAUUUUGUUAGAUUACUGGUUUAGUACCUUUGGUAUUAGGGUUUAUUAAAAGUAUUAUGGUUUUAUAGGUCUCGAAUUAGGGUGAGCUAUAUUGAUCUUAGGUUAAAUGUGGAAAAAUUUAAUUAAAGAUUCGUGUAGUGGUGAUAUGCUAGGCAAACUUUUUGUUAUCUAGUUUUUAUUUAAAAAUUUAAUUUUAGGUCUGUGAAUAAUUUAAUGGGUUUAAUAGAUAGAAAUGGACAAGCUUUUUUAUGAUUGAUAUGAUAAGACAUAAAGAUAUCUUAUAGGCUUAGAAUUAGCUAUUUUGGUUAUUAUGUUGUAAUAUAUUAAAGUGGAUUUAAAUUUUGUUUGACGUUUGGUAUAUUUAGAAUGAUUAUUUGAAUUAGGUAUAGUAGGUAAUUAUGAUAAUAUUAGUAGUAUUUUAUUUUUUUAGCUGAAGUGGGGAUGGUAAUUAUGAUUUAAAGUGUUAUGAAAUUAGUAAUAAGGAAUUUAACAGAAAUUGUGUUUGCCUGUUUAACAAAAACAUCGUCUUCUGUUAUUUAAUAGGAGAUAUAGCCUGCCCACUGAUAUUUGAAGGGCUGCWGUAUAUUGACUGUACAAAGGUAGCAUAAUCAUUAGUUUUUUAAUUGAGAACUGGUAUGAAUGGUUGGACAAAUACAUAUUGUUUCAUUAUUAAGGAAUGAAUUUUAUUAUUUUGUGAAAAAUCAAAAAUGAGCUAAGGGGACGAGAAGACCCUAUUAAAUUUUAUUUAUGAAUAGAUAUAAAAAUAUAUGAAUAAAUUUUUUAUUUGUUGGUGGAUUUAGUUGGGGCGACUGUUUAAAAGACAUAAAUGAAAGAUAAAUUUUUAAAGAGCUUUGGAUUUGACCCUUAAUAUGCGGGUUAAUAGAAAAAAUUACUAUAGGGAUAACAGCGUAAUGUUGUUUGAGAGUUCAUAUUGACAAUAGAGUUUGCGACCUCGAUGUUGGAUUAAAGAUUUCUUGUUGGUGUAGUAGUCAUUAUAAGAGCGGUCUGUUCGACCUUUAAAUCUUUACAUGAUCUGAGUUAAGACCGGCGUGAGCCAGGUCGGUUUCUAUCUUUUAGAAUAGUUAAUUAAUAAUAGUACGAAAGGACCUUAUUAGUCAAAUAUUUUGAGUUUAAUGGAGUGGUGUAAAAUGAGUUUGCGACCUCGAUGUUGGAUUAAAGAUUUCUUGUUGGUGUAGUAGUCAUUAUAAGAGCGGUCUGUUCGACCUUUAAAUCUUUACAUGAUCUGAGUUAAGACCGGCGUGAGCCAGGUCGGUUUCUAUCUUUUAGAAUAGUUAAUUAAUAAUAGUACGAAAGGACCUUAUUAGUCAAAUAUUUUGAGUUUAAUGGAGUGGUGUAAAAU